UGGUGCAGUUUAUGGACCCGAUACAGUUUCCAUUUCCACCGCACAACGAUGGUUUCAACGUUUUCGUUCUGGUGUAGUGGUGGUCGCAGAUGCCCCACGCUCCGAAAGGCCUGUCGUCGCAAAUUGAGAUAAAAUCGCUGAAUUGGUCGAAAGAGACCGGCAUAGUAGCAGCCGUAGCAUCGGUUAAGAGCUGGGCAUGAGUCCUCAAAAAUUCAUUUCAAUUUACUUAUUUACUUUUUUGUAAGCCCACAGUAAACGAGUACAUGCACUAGAAAAGGCUACCAUAGUAUCAACGCCAUGAUAGUAAGAUAUGUGAUCACACUUACAAAAUUAUGGCUAUUAACUGUCAAUACGGCGGUGCAGCCCACGACUCAUUUCUUUGGAAACAAUCGGGCCAGAGAAGAGUUUUGGAAGAACGAUUUCAGCACUACAGGAAUGAAAAUUCAUGGCUUUUAGGGGAUUCUGGCUACCCAUUGGAACCAUGGUGCUUAACUCCUUACAGAAACGCUUCGGAUGGUUCAAGUGAAGCUAUGUUCAAUGAAAUUAAUUCCAAGGCAAGAUGUAUCGUCGAACGAACUAUCGGAAUUUUAAAAGUACGCUGGAGAAUUUUAGGAUAUGGGAAGAGAGGAAGGUACCUUCCGACAAAAGUGGCAAAAUUUGCUAACGUUUGUGCAGCGUUACACAACAUCUGCAUAAAAUUUAAAAUAAAUUAUGAUCCUCAGAAUUGCUAUUCUGAUCAAACAACGGAUAUCGACACCAGGGUAGCGAACCGCCUCACCGCAAUCGGCCAAACAAUAAGAGAUCAAAUAAAGUACUCUUUAAUAAAUUGAAGAUGAAAAUGUCUAUGUCUUUAACCUUGUAAAUAUUUUUUUUUCUUUUAAACAAAUUUUGUUCACAUAAAUUCAUUAUUUUAAU